GAUGAACGCUGGCGGCGUGCCUAAUACAUGCCAGUCGAGCGAACGGACGAGAAGCUUGCUUCUCUGAUGUUAGCGGCGGACGGGCGAGUAACACGUGGAUAACCUACCUAUAAGACUGGGAUAACUUCGGGAAACCGGAGCUAAUACCGGAUAAUAUUUUGAACCGCAUGGAUCAAAAGUGAAAGACGGUCUUGGUGUCACUUAUAGAUGGAUCCGCGCUGCAUUAGCUAGUUGGUAAGGUAACGGCUUACCAAGGCAACGAUGCAUAGCCGACCUGAGAGGGUGAUCGGCCACACUGGAACUGAGACACGGUCCAGACUCCUACGGGAGGCAGCAGUAGGGAAUCUUCCGCAAUGGGCGAAAGCCUGACGGAGCAACGCCGCGUGAGUGAUGAAGGUCUUCGGAUCGUAAAACUCUGUUAUUAGGGAAGAACAUAUGUGUAAGUAACUGUGCACAUCUUGACGGUACCUAAUCAGAAAGCCACGGCUAACUACGUG
rnacentral:rRNA from 1 species